rnacentral:rRNA from 1 species
UACGGGGGGGGCAAGCGUUGUUCGGAAUUACUGGGCGUAAAGGGCUCGUAGGUGGCCAACUAAGUCAGACGUGAAAUCCCUCAGCUUAACUGGGGAACUGCGUCUGAUACUGGAUGGCUUGAGUUUGGGAGAGGGAUGCGGAAUUCCGCGUGUAGCAGUGAAAUGCGUAGAUAUGCGGAGGAACACCGAUGGCGAAGGCAGUCCCCUGGGCCUGUACUGACGCUCAUGCACGAAAGCGUGGGGAGCAAACAGG